UGAGGAAUAUUGGUCAAUGGGCGGGAGCCUGAACCAGCCAAGCCGCGUGAGGGAAGAAGGCCCUAUGGGUCGUAAACCUCUUUGUCAGGGAACAAAAGCGAGUAUGUAUACUAGUCUGAGUGUACCUGAAGAAAAAGCAUCGGCUAACUCCGUGCCAGCAGCCGCGGUAAUACGGAGGAUGCGAGCGUUAUCCGGAUUUAUUGGGUUUAAAGGGUGCGUAGGCGGCGGUGCAAGUCAGCGGUAAAAGCCCGGGGCUCAACCCCGGCGAGCCGUUGAAACUGCAGUGCUAGAGAAGGCGAAGAGGUACGCGGAAUGCGCAGUGUAGCGGUGAAAUGCUUAGAUAUUGCGCAGAACUCCGAUUGCGAAAGGCAGCGUACUGGCGCCUGACUGACGCUGAGGCACGAAAGCGUGGGGAUCGAACAGAUAGAUACC
rnacentral:rRNA from 1 species